GUGUCAGCCGCCGCGGUAAUACGGAGGGUGCGAGCGUUAAUCGGAAUUACUGGGCGUAAAGCGCAUGCAGGUGGUUAGUUAAGUCAGAUGUGAAAGCCCGGGGCUCAACCUCGGAGCUGCAUUUGAAACUGGCUGACUAGAGUACUGUAGAGGGGGGUAGAAUUUCAGGUGUAGCGGUGAAAUGCGUAGAGAUCUGAAGGGAUACCGGUGGCGAAGGCGGCCCCCUGGACAGAUACUGACACUCAGAUGCGAAAGCGUGGGGAGCAAACAGGAUUAGAAACCCCCGUAGUCC
rnacentral:rRNA from 1 species